CAAAAGACGGACACGGGCCA
rnacentral:rRNA from 1 species